UACGUAGGUGGCAAGCGUUGUUCGGAAUUACUGGGCGUAAAGGGCUCGUAGGUGGCCAACUAAGUCGGACGUGAAAUCCCUCGGCUUAACCGGGGAACUGCGUCCGAUACUGGAUGGCUUGAGUUUGGGAGAGGGAUGCGGAAUUCCAGGUGUAGCGGUGAAAUGCGUAGAUAUCUGGAGGAACACCGGUGGCGAAGGCGGCAUCCUGGACCAACACUGACACUGAGGAGCGAAAGCCAGGGGAGCAAACGGG
rnacentral:rRNA from 1 species